rnacentral:rRNA from 1 species
UACAGAGGUCUCAAGCGUUGUUCGGAUUCAUUGGGCGUAAAGGGUGCGUAGGCGGCGCGGUAAGUCGGGUGUGAAAGCCCUCAGCUCAACUGAGGAAGUGCGCCCGAAACUGCAGAGCUUGAGUGCCGGAGAGGGUGGCGGAAUUCCCCCAAGUAGAGGUGAAAUUCGUAGAUAUGGGGGAGGAACACCGGUGGCGAAGGCGGCCACCUGGACGGGUAACUGACGCUGAGACGCGAAAGCGUGGGGAGCAAACAGG